CCUACGGGAGACAGCAGUAGGGAAUUUUCGGCAAUGGGGGGAACCCUGACCGAGCAACGCCGCGUGAACGAAGAAGUUAUUCGUAAUGUAAAGUUCUUUUAACAGGGAAGAAAGAGAAAUUUGACGGUACCUGAAGAAUAAGCUCCGGCUAACUACGUGCCAGCAGCCGCGGUAAUACGUAGGGAGCGUGCGUUAUCCGAAUUUAUUGGGCGAAAGGGGUGGGUAGAUGGCAUAGUAAGUCUUUUGUAAAAAUGCUGGGCUCAACCCAGUAGGGCAAAGGUAACUGGAAAGCUAGAGUAUGAGAGAGGCAAGUGGAACUACCUGUGUAGCGGUAAAAUGCGUAGAUAUAAGGAAGAACACCAGUGGCGAAGGCGGCUUGCUGGGUCGAUACUGACAUUGAGGCACGAAAGCGUGGGGAGCAAACAGGAUUAGAUACCCUAGUAGUC
rnacentral:rRNA from 1 species